AUUGAACGCUGGCGGAAUGCUUUACACAUGCAAGUCGAACGGCAGCACGGACUUCGGUCUGGUGGCGAGUGGCGAACGGGUGAGUAAUGUAUCGGAACGUGCCCAGUCGUGGGGGAUAACGUAGUGAAAAUUACGCUAAUACCGCAUACGAUCUAUGGAUGAAAGCGGGGGAUCGCAAGACCUCGCGCGAUUGGAGCGGCCGAUAUCAGAUUAGGUAGUUGGUGGGGUAAAGGCCCACCAAGCCAACGAUCUGUAGCUGGUCUGAGAGGACGACCAGCAACACUGGAACUGAGAAACGGUCCAGACUCCUACGGUAGGCAGCAGUGGGGAAUUUUGGACAAUGGGCGAAAGCCUGAUCCAGCCAUUCCGCGUGCAGGAUGAAGGCCCUCGGGUUGUAAACUGCUUUUGUACAGAACGAAAAGGUUUCUACUAAUACUAGGAGCUCAUGACGGUACUGUAAGAAUAAGCACCGGCUAACUACGUGCCAGCCGCCGCGUAA
rnacentral:rRNA from 1 species